GCCAUAAUUUCCUUUCCUAUUCUCUCACGCAGACUCGCAACCUCUUCACACCACGCAGCCCUAAGCGCUUCCCUUCCCACUGGCCGCUACUCCGUCACAGACCCGCGCCUCCGGAUAGAAGGGAGAAGCAGAGCCGCCAGCUCGCCUGCGUUGCUUUCACCUUCGGCUUUCGCAAUCUCCGCGCCUCCAGCCCGCCUACGUUGCUGUCCUCCUCCAUUCCCUAUAGCUCAGGUGAGACCCUAUUACCAUUUAUGGUAAAAGUGAACUGACACUUCUGUUCGCGGACAAAUAAAAUGGAAAAACGGGACUCCUAUUCGCGGACGGAGGGAGAGCUCGGCGGAAAGCUCAACAAAGAGAGGAGGAGCGCCGAUGUUUCAAUUCUUAGUUAGGAAAGUGUAAUACCCAUUUUUAUUUCUAUCAUUUUAAGUUAAGAUUUUUGUUUUGAGAACGAGCGAGUGAUACACCUUGAAUAAAAUAACGUGUUUGUCUC